rnacentral:tRNA from 1 species
CCGCUGCCCGCUCCAGAUGUGCUGAUAUGGCUCAGUUGGUAGAGCGCACCCUUGGUAAGGGUGAGGUCCCCAGUUC